rnacentral:rRNA from 1 species
CUGGCUCAGGAUGAACGCUAGCUACAGGCUUAACACAUGCAAGUCGAGGGGCAGCAUGUGGUUGCUUGCAACCAAUGAUGGCGACCGGCGCACGGGUGAGUAACGCGUAUCCAACCUUCCCCUUAGUAGAGGAUAGCCCGGCGAAAGUCGGAUUAAUACUCUAUGUUCUUCAAUGCGGACAUCUAAGUUGAAGCAAAGAUUUAUCGCUAAGGGAUGGGGAUGCGUCUGAUUAGGUUGCAGGCGGGGUAACGGCCCACCUGGCCUACGAUCAGUAGGGGUUCUGAGAGGAAGGUCCCCCACACUGGUACUGAGACACGGACCAGACUCCUACGGGAGGCAGCAGUGAGGAAUAUUGGUCAAUGGGCGCGAGCCUGAACCAGCCAAGUAGCGUGCAGGGAACCGACUGCCCUAUGGGUUGUAAAACUGCUUUUAUCAGGGAAUAAAGUGAGGCACGCGUGCCUUUUUGUAUGUACCUGAUGAAUAAGGACCGGCUAAUUCCGUGCCAGCCGCUGC